UACGGAGGAUGCAAGCGUUAUCCGGAAUGAUUGGGCGUAAAGCGUCCGCAGGUGGCUAUGUAAGUCUGCUGUUAAAGAGUGAGGCUCAACCUCAUAAGAGCAGUGGAAACUACAUGGCUAGAGUGCGUUCGGGGCAGAGGGAAUUCCUGGUGUAGCGGUGAAAUGCGUAGAGAUCAGGAAGAACACCGGUGGCGAAGGCGUUCUGCUGGGCCGUUGCUGACACUGAGGCGCGACAGCGUGGGGAGCAAACAGG
rnacentral:rRNA from 1 species